rnacentral:lncRNA from 1 species
GCCGCUGGAGGCUGUGGUUCCUGGGAGCUCAAGUGCAGCCCCGUGGUGAAAUUCAUCUAGCAAGCACUACUGUGAGGUUCUAUCUGGCAAAGGGACACGUGGAGAUGGGGACCAAGAGGAGGAGGCAUCCUGGACGUCACCAGGUGCCCCAUCCACGGCGAGGGAAGCCUGGAUCCGGCUCUGCUGUCACUCAGAACAGGUCGGGGACUCCGGUGACCACGUCCCUGCCCGCUGCAUGCUUGGAAAGCACUGCCUUUGCCAGAAGCCUAGGCGAGAAGGCUCCCAAAGCAGACACCGGACCCCCGAGUAGCUCUGGUCUCCACGGGCCACCCCGGGAGCUGUAGGGCGAGGCCCACCCGCGCGCCGUAGUGCGCAUGCGUCAGUCGGCUGAGCAGGAGGCCGCCCGCGCAGCCUCGCUCCCGCCCGGUCGCCGUGGCAACGGGCUCGCGGGGGGAGGGGCCGCGCCGCGGCGGCUGCUAUUUCUGCUGCUUCCUGUUCCUUGCGGCCACGUCGCCAUGGCAACGGAGUUACUCAGCUCGGCCGCCUCUCGGCUCGGCUGGCGCGCGUGACCCCGGCCGCUCGCGCCCCCUCGUCCCCCU